GCCAGCAUGGUGUAGUGGUUUGAGCAAUGGACUAGAACUCUGGAGACCAAGGUUCAAAUCCUGGUUCAGUCA